rnacentral:rRNA from 1 species
UCGGGAAACUUUUGCAAUACACGCAAGUGUGACAAAGCAAGCCAGAGUGCUAUUCUAUAUUUGAAUAGCUUUUGUGAGAUGCAAAAAGUCUUACGAAUAAGGACUGGGCAAGACCGGUGCCAGCCGCCGCGGUAAUCCCGGCAGUCCAAGUCGCAGCCACAUUUGUUGGGUCUAAAAUAUCCGUAGCUUGUCUUUCAAGUCUUUUGUGAAAUCGGGACUCUUAAGGUUCCGGCGCGCAAAAGAUACUGUAAGACUAUGAGACCGGGAGGCGUAAGAAGUACGUAUAGGGUAACGGUAAAAUGUGUUGAUCCUAUAUGGACUACCAGUCGCGAAGGCGUCUUACGAGAACGGUUCUGACAGUGAGGGAUGAAGGCUAGGGGCGCAAAGUGG